AAUCGAACCAUCUAGUAGCUGGUUCCCUCCGAA
rnacentral:piRNA from 1 species